GGUGAACGCUGGCGGCAGGCCUAAUACAUGCAAGUCGAACGGCAGCACAGCAGAGCUUGCUCUGUGGGUGGCGAGUGGCGGACGGGCGAGGAAUACAUGGGAAUCUGCCCAGUCGUGGGGGAUAACGUAGGGAAACUUACGCUAAUACCGCAUGCGCCCUUCGGGGGAAAGCCGGGGACCUUCGGGCCUGGCGCGAUUGGAUGAGCCCAUGUCGGAUUAGCUAGUUGGCGGGGUAAAGGCCCACCAAGGCGACGAUCCGUAGCUGGUCUGAGAGGAUGAUCAGCCACACUGGAACUGAGACACGGUCCAGACUCCUACGGGAGGCAGCAGUAGGGAAUAUUGGACAAUGGGCGCAAGCCUGAUCCAGCCAUGCCGCGUGAGUGAAGAAGGCCUUCGGGUUGUAAAGCUCUUUUGUCCGGAAAGAAAAGCAUCCAGUUAAUACCUGGGUGUCCUGACGGUACCGGAAGAAUAAGCACCGGCUAACUUCGUGCCAGCCGCCGCCGUAAUAC
rnacentral:rRNA from 1 species